rnacentral:rRNA from 1 species
UCCGUAGGCGGGCAAUUAAGUCAGAGGUGAAAUCCCACAGCUCAACUGUGGAACUGCCUUUGAUACUGGUUGUCUUGAGUUACAGUGAAGUAGAUAGAAUAUGUAGUGUAGCGGUGAAAUGCAUAGAUAUUACAUAGAAUACCGAUUGCGAAGGCAGUCUACUAACUAUAUACUGACGCUAAUGGACGAAAGCGUGAGGAGCGAACAGGAUUAGAUACCCUGGUAGUCC